rnacentral:lncRNA from 1 species
UUGGUUUCAGAUUAUAACUGGAUCAUCGUAAGGCGACAAGUUAAAACAGAUUCUAGAAAAGGAGACUUCAUUGCAGACACUUGAGUUUAAAAUGUACAUUCCCUUCCAAAACACCAAAAGAUAAAGAAAAUUGUGCAAUGCUCUAUAAAACAUAAAUCCCCUAGCCAACAACCAUUGCUCAUCCUUUCUGCCACAAUCAAGGAUUGCCGAACCGGUACCGGGUGCCAUACCGAUCAGCGACCGGUCCAGCUCGAUACCGGUUCGGUACCGGGCCCAUACCGAGAGAAACCAACCGGAGCCGGAGAAAGAUCGGUACCGAGCCCAUACCGAGAGAAACCAACCGGAGCCGGAGAAGGAGAGCAGAAAGAGAGAGUGAGCGAGGGAGGGAGAGAGAAG